AGAGUUUGAUCCUGGCUCAGAACGAACGCUGGCGGCGUGGAUAAGACAUGCAAGUCGCACGGAGAAAAGAUAGUUUACUAGCUUUUCUGAGUGGCGCACGGGUGAGUAACACGUGAGCAACCUGCCUCUUAGUGGGGGAUAGCCCUGGGAAACCGGGAUUAAUACCGCAUAUCAUCGCAAGAUGAAAGCAGCAAUGCGCUAAGAGAGGGGCUCGCGGCCUAUUAGUUAGUUGGUGAGGUAACGGCUCACCAAGGCGAUGACGGGUAGCCGGUCUGAGAGGAUGUCCGGCCACACUGGAACUGAGACACGGUCCAGACACCUACGGGUGGCAGCAGUCGAGAAUCAUUCACAAUGGGGGAAACCCUGAUGGUGCGACGCCGCGUGGGGGAAGAAGGUCUUCGGAUUGUAAACCCCUGUCAUGUGGGAGCAAGCUAGCAAUAGUUGAUAGUACCACAAGAGGAAGAGACGGCUAACUCUGUGCCAGCAGCCGCGGUAAUACAGAGGUCUCAAGCGUUGUUCGGAAUCACUGGGCGUAAAGGGUACGUA
rnacentral:rRNA from 1 species